rnacentral:rRNA from 1 species
GAUGAACGCUGGCGGCGUGCCUAAUACAUGCAAGUCGAGCGAACAGACGAGGAGCUUGCUCCUCUGACGUUAGCGGCGGACGGGUGAGUAACACGUGGAUAACCUACCUAUAAGACUGGGAUAACUUCGGGAAACCGGAGCUAAUACCGGAUAAUAUAUUGAACCGCAUGGUUCAAUAGUGAAAGACGGUUUUGCUGUCACUUAUAGAUGGUUCCGCGCCGCAUUAGCUAGUUGGUAAGGUAACGGCUUACCAAGGCAACGAUGCGUAGCCGACCUGAGGGGGUGAUCGGCCACACGGGAACGGAGACACGGUCCAGACUCCUACGGGAGGCAGCAGUAGGGAAUCUGCCGCAAAGGGCGAAAGCCUGACGGAGCAACGCCGCGUGAGUGAUGAAGGUCUUCGGAUCGUAAAACUCUGUUAUUAGGGAAGAACAAAUGUGGAAGUAACUAUGCACGUCUUGACGGUACCUAAUCAGAAAGCCACGGCUAACUACGUG